UCUGGCUCAGUGAAUCAGCAUUUUUACAUAAACAAUAGGGCAGAGGAAGCAAUCGGAUAGGCAUUUGCUUCAGGUGAGCAGAGGGAUGACUUUCUGUCCCACAUCUGUGAAGAUCAGCUGUUGGUUUACAUUGCCAGGGUGAAAUUCAACAGAACUAAUUUAGGGUGAAGAUCUUGAGGCCCACAAGGAAUUUCCUUGUGGGAAAAUUGUGAGGAAGAGCAAUCACUGCACCCAGCCACCUCUAUAUACAUGUACACAAAGCCACACAGUUUACACAGUCACAGGUAUUUAAGUACACACUAUUCACACACAAAUACAUAUAUAGACACACAUGUACAGUCCGUCCAAAAUAUAUGUACAUAAAAGCACACUAUUACACCUUCAUAUGUGCACACACACACACACCCAGACUCACUUCAUACACACAUAGAUACAACAGCCACAGCUCCCCAUCACCUACACACACACACACACACCUGGACACCCAGCUCUAAUAUAAUCAGAUAGAGAUAUGCAUGCAGACAAAUUUGCCUGUAUAGUCAAACACAUAGGCAAAUAGAGAACGAGACACCACAUGAACAAAGGCAAACCUACACACAAAGACACAGAGCACACUUACGCAUAUAUCUAUAGACCCACCAUGGCACAUAUGGGUAAGUGCACACAGGCAAACUCACACACACGAGCAUGCACAGGCAGAGAACACAAAUGUACACUCCCAGGUGUCAUAAAGAACAGCCCAGCUUCGGCUUGGGAACGUCACAUCAGACAAUAGGAACGGCUGCACCGCGCGUUUCCUCGGCUGCCAGCUUCCCAGCCACAGAGGAUGCCUCACCUGCUAUGUCAGCUCCCCUCUGCCCCACCUCACAAGAAGCUCAGAAGCUGAGGAGUCACAGAGAGACCUCCCUACUGUGUCAGAGGAAUAGGUCCUUCUGUCACGGGGCACAGGACCCUUGACCGCAAAAUGACGUGAGUUACCACUGACUAUUUUCUGGGUCUUGAUCUUGUGACUCCAAAUGGAUGGUACAGCUUGAGCAAAGACACAGAAGCAGAAGGCAGGUUUUUGGUUCCAUGAACUCUACAUCUGGCUACAUACAAAUGGUGAAGAGGAACAGGGAGAAACAUGGUUGAAAAGAACAGGCUUGGACUUCAGGAAGCAGUAAAAUGAGCGAAUGCCAUUUAUGGUUACAAAGAUAACUCAGCUGGGGGCCAAACAGAGACUGAAAUGGAGUGGGUGAGGAUGGAGGCCGGGAGGAGAUGGCUGCAGAGGUCCCAGCAAUGACAGUGGUUGUGGGAAGGGGCAACCCCAAGUCUUGUGCUCCCAACUGCAAAUCCAGUGCUUUUUCUAAAAAAAUAUUUAAAUAAUUUAUUUAUUUUUGAGAUGGAGUCUCGCUCUGUCACCCAGGCUGGAGUGCAGUGACACAAUGUCGGCUCGUGCAACCUCUGCCCCCCGGGUUCAAGCGAUUCUCCUGCCUCAGCCUCCCAAGUAGCUGGGAUUACAGACGCACGCCUCCACGCCUGGCUAAUUUUUUAUAUUUUUGGUAGAGAUGGGGUUUCACCAUGUUGCCCAGGCUGGUCUCGAACUCCUGACUUCAAGUGAUCCACCCACCUCGGCCUCCCAAAGUACUAGGAUGACAGGCGUGAGCCACUGUGCCCAGCCUUAUUUUUUUUUUUAAUUUAUAUUUUCAGAGGCAAACGAUCCUUGCUCAUUAAAAAAAGGAAAUAGAAAUUCAAAACAAAAAUGCCUGUAUCUGAUGGGAAAGAUGAGCCCAAUGUUCUUUUUUAAAAAACCUUUAUUAUGAAAUAUUUCAACUGAACAUAUGCAGUUUAUAUUGUUAUAAAGCAUAACAAGCAAUCAAACAGCUGUGAACCCACCACUCCAUGUCAGAACUAGAACUUCCCAAAGCAGUCGGAGCUGAGGUGAGAUCCACUCUGAUGCCCUUCCCCAACUCCACGCCACCCCCCAAGACCUGACCACCUGAUUACUCUGGGAUUUCAUUUUUGUCUCGUUCCCUUGCUUUGCUUUAUGUCUUUACCAAAUGUGAAUGUGUGCCUAAACAAUACAGUGCUCGAUUUGCUUGUGUUUAAGCUUUAUUACAAAUAUAACUUUGAUCCUUCUGCUACUUGCAAUUCUAAAUUUGAUAUUACGAGUCUCAGCCUCAUCGGCGUUGAUGCGUGUGACCGACAUUGAUUCACUCUCACCAGUACGUGGUGUGUUCCGUUGCAUGCAUGCACCCCUGCUGGGGUAUCCAUUCUCCUGUUGGUGGACCUUUGGGUGGUAUUAGUUGCUGGUCAUCUCCAUGGUGCUGUCCUCUUGCAGGUCUCCAGGACACAUGUGCAUGAGUUCCUCUAGGAAACCACGGUGUACAACUGCUGGGUUGCAGGCCCAGGGUUCUUUCCACUUCUCUAUCCUCCCAAGUAGGGUCCAGCUGGCCUUAGUGCUGCCAUGCUGAGAGCUCUGGGAGGGGCAACCCAGGGCAGACAGGCCCAGGCCAGCCACCCUGCCCCAGGCAUUUCCCAGGACUCAUCAGGCACCCAGCGGCCCCUCAGCAGUGAGCAAUACCAGAAAUCUGCCAGCUGGCUACUAACUGGGUCACAAGAGAGUACUGCUGUCUCACUCAGGGUGCGUUCCAUUUCCUUCAGCACUUGCGCCAAGUAAGGCUGUGUUCACAGGCCACAAGACCCAAGGGAGAUGGAAAUCAGCUCACAGAUGCUGAGCUGACUGCACACCAGGCAGUGUGCAAAGCACCUUACACAUAUAACUCACUUAAUCCUCAUCCCUGACUGCACGAGGUGGGCACUAUUAUUAACCCCACUUUACAGAUAAGAAACUGAGGCGCAGGAAGUUGAAAAUUUUGCCCAGACCAACACGUACAACUUCAAAUCCAGACAGCCUGGCCGCUCUGCUCCUACUACUCUGCUACCCCAUCUCUCAAGAGGGGAAAAGGACUAGCUCCUUGCCCAAUCCUGAGGUUGUCAGCAUUCUUUUACUGGCAAGGAAAACAAAUGGAACUUCAAUGAAUAUAUGUAGAAAGAAAGACUUAUUAGCUGACAAAAAUCAAUAGAGAAAAGACAGGUUAGAAGCAGAUCUCAGGGCCCACUGGGUCCAGGGAGGCGAAAGCGCCCCUCCUUCUCCGUCUUCCUCCUCCACGUCUCUCUUUGUGCUGUUUUCAUUCUUUCCUAUUGCAAAAGGGCCUCCUCCCCUGGGCAGGUAGGUGGCUGCCUGCAACUCUCACCUCACCUUCUCACAGAUCUGCCUAUUUCUAUUUUAAAAUACAAACAAACCAAAAGCCAGAGAAGGUUCCUGACAGGCCCAGGAAAGGAUGUGAUUAGCUUAGUCUGGGCCACCUGCCCAUUUUUUAUGGACUAAAUGUUUGUGUGUCUCCAAAUUGGUAUGUGGAAGCCCUACCCCCAGUGUGACAGUAUUAGGAAGUGGGGCCUCUGAAAGGUCAUUAGGUUUCAAUGAGGUCAUGAGGGUGGGGGGAUCCAUGAUGGAAUUAGUGCCGUUAUAAGAAAAGGAAGAGACACCAGAGUUUUCUCUCCACCAUGUGAGGUUACAGCAAGAAGGCAGCUGUCUGCAAGCCUGAAGAGAGCCCUUACCAGGAGCCAAAUCUGCCAGCACCCUGAUCUUGGACUUCCAGAACUGUGAGAAAUAAAUUCCUGUUCCUGAAGCCACUCAGUCCGUGGGAUUCUAUUAGCAGUCGGGACUGACUUGGACACUGUUCCUGGAGCAACGCUAGUGGCCUGGGGAAGCUGGGCCCUGGGACUGGUGCAGGGAGGGCCACAGUCCCAGCCUAUAGCAGCUGAAGCUGCAUUUGUCCCCAGGAAGAGGACAUCACAGACACAACCCCAGAGGCAGUGGGAGGGGGCAUGAUUGAUUGGGAGCAAGGCAACAGUCUAACAGGGCCCAUCUGUGCCCAGGAGUGGGAGAAGCUCCUGGCCAUGAAGAGAGCCCUCACCAGAGGCCAAACCUACUAGGACCUUGAUCUUGGACUUCCAGCCUCCUCCCUGGAAACACGUGACAGCACAUAUGGGUGGUCUCCCUUCUUGAGCGAGGCCUGAGUCUUCACCCAGGAUCCAACUAGACUGAAAAGAACUGUCUCCCUAACAGCACUCCAUCAGCAUUCAGAGAAAAGAGAUUUCCACCUGGUGUUUUUAACCAACACAACCUCCUUCUACACCCUAACCCAUAGAGGGCCCUGGGACCAGUAUAAGAAGUGUGGGUGUUAAGCUGGGACUGCUAGAAGGAGCAGCAGCCCCAUGGGAGCAGGGCAGGAGGGUCCCCUCUUGACCUGCUGACUGCAAACACUGCAGCCGGAGAGACACUCACUCAGGCCACGGUGGGGAGGCCCAGGGGAGGCACGUGUCCUCAUUCUGCUAAGGCGAUAGGGCUCGGGCACAGGACAGGCGAUUUGA
rnacentral:lncRNA from 10 species